rnacentral:lncRNA from 1 species
GAAAACCAAUCAACCAAUAUAUUUCUACAUGAUAUCAAAGAUGUUAUUGUUGCUCAUCAAAUAGACAAACAAAUAGUUAUACAGAUUCAUAAGAAAUAUAUUUGUAAACAUUUGGUCAAAAAUAGCUUGGUUGGUUAGAGCUUCCUCCACCCUAUUUUUGUCAGAUGGGAAAAAUAUAGUGAUACAUUGAGUUUGUUUGUUAGAACAUUCUACAUAGAUUUAACAAAAUAUCCUAAAUUGUCUCUCU